GUCCAGACUCCUACGGGAGGCAGCAGUGGGGAAUAUUGCACAAUGGGGGAAACCCUGAUGCAGCGACGCCGCGUGAGCGAUGAAGUAUUUCGGUAUGUAAAGCUCUAUCAGCAGGGAAGAAGAUGACGGUACCUGACUAAGAAGCCCCGGCUAACUACGUGCCAGCAGCCGCGGUAAUACGUAGGGGGCAAGCGUUAUCCGGAUUUACUGGGUGUAAAGGGAGCGUAGACGGCGAUGCAAGCCAGAUGUGAAAGCCCGGGGCUCAACCCCGGGACUGCAUUUGGAACUGUGUGGCUGGAGUGUCGGAGAGGCAGGCGGAAUUCCUAGUGUAGCGGUGAAAUGCGUAGAUAUUGGGAGGAACACCAGUGGCGAAGGCGGCCUGCUGGACGAUGACUGACGUUGAGGCUCGAAAGCGUGGGGAGCAAACAGGAUUAGAUACCCUUGUA
rnacentral:rRNA from 1 species